GAUGAAGAGCGCAGCGAAAUGCGAUAAGUAAUGUGAAUUGCAGAAUUCAGUGAAUCAUCGAAUCUUUGAACGCACCUUGCACUCCUUGGUAUUCCGAGGAGUACGCCUGUUCGAGUGUUAUGAAGCUCUCAAAACGCAAUUGGCUUAAAACCUGAUUGUUGUUUUGGAUUUGAACUUUGCCGUGUUAUAACGGCUGGUUUUAAAAGUAUUAGCUGGUACUAGAACGAAUUGGUUCUACUCAACGUGAUAAUUAUCUGAUCGUUGAGGACAUUCCUUUCACGAGGAAUGGCCAUAGUAAAUUCAAUGGACUGCUUCUAAUCUGGCUUUAAUUCUUUAUUGGAUUAACCACUUUUCAAAUCUGACCUCGAAUCAGGUGGGACUACCCGCUGAACUUAAGCAUAUCAAUAAGCGGAGGA
rnacentral:misc_RNA from 1 species